UAGGGAAUCUUCGGCAAUGGGGGCAACCCUGACCGAGCAACGCCGCGUGAGUGAAGAAGGUUUUCGGAUCGUAAAGCUCUGUUGUAAGAGAAGAACGUGUGUGAGAGUGGAAAGUUCACACAGUGACGGUAACUUACCAGAAAGGGACGGCUAACUACGUGCCAGCAGCCGCGGUAAUACGUAGGUCCCGAGCGUUGUCCGGAUUUAUUGGGCGUAAAGCGAGCGCAGGCGGUUUAAUAAGUCUGAAGUUAAAGGCAGUGGCUUAACCAUUGUUCGCUUUGGAAACUGUUAAACUUGAGGGCAGAAGGGGAGAGUGGAAUUCCAUGUGUAGCGGUGAAAUGCGUAGAUAUAUGGAGGAACACCGGUGGCGAAAGCGGCUCUCUGGUCUGUAACUGACGCUGAGGCUCGAAAGCGUGGGGAGCAAACAGG
rnacentral:rRNA from 1 species